ensembl:lncRNA
UUGGAUCAAAAUAUUUUAAUAAAGCUUUCCAAUACAUCAACACAUACAAAUGGCCCUCUGUGGUCAUUUUGAAACUAAUAUAUCUACAUUGCUUCCAGCCUCGACCUGACAACAAGUUGAAUCCGGCACGUCCCUAAAUAGCCAAACUGUAUGUGUGUUUGUAAAAAGCCAAAUCGGCGAAAUUUACAGCAAUGAUGACAAUGCAAAAUCAGACCAGGCAUGCAGACCCACUUGUUUCAUCCAUUUAGAAAAAUGAAAAAGCAAAACAACUUUUUAAGAUUCCACCAAACUAACAAUAUAUUAUACUACAAUUUUAAAAUGAACGAUCUCAAAUAAGCUUUCGAAAUAACACGUAGGCUACUUUGGAAUAAAGUCCAAUACGCUGCUCCUUCCAGCAACUGCUUUGUAAAACACAGAUGUCACUUGAACGCAAACAUUUAUAUAACAUAAAUUCGAAGUAGCAAGAAUACGCAUUAUUGCAAGUUAGAGUUAAAACCUUGAAAAGUUUGGCAUCAUAAACAAGGUAAAACAUGGUUGCAAGUUGGCAGGUCAGUGAUACACGUCAUUCUGAAGGGUCCACAUUAAUUAUCUGUUCAUUCUUCAUCAUCAUCAUCAGACAUAGACUUUGUUUGGUUUUUAUCCCACGCUCACCAGCACUUAAAGUAUAGGCUAUACCGUAUACACACAAUCAGUGUUUCUUGGAAUGAAGUUAGUCAAAAGUUGCGCAUGUGCUUCUACCAGAGUCGGCUGCAGAGUUUAAGGCUUGUCAGUGCAUUGCUUACAGAGGCUGGAGGUGACAUUGUUGAAAAGGGCACAUUUGUCUGGACAGGAGGACGCUGCAACUCCUGCGGGGAACGGGUAACCAACCGGCUGCUCGUAUGCGCUCAAACCGGGCGUGAGAGCUGUGGUCGCGGGCAGCGAGGCAGCAGAGAUAGCCUGGCCUUGGUUGAGAUACGCAACCAGCCGUCUCAUCUCCUCCAGCGCCUGUGCCUGCAUGAGGAUGUAAUUUUUGGCUAAGAGCAAGGUGGCAAUUUUGGAGAGUUUCCGUACAGACGGACUGUGCGCGUAAGGGAUGACCGAGCGCAGCUCAUCGAGCGCAUCGUUCAGAUCGUGCAUUCUCCGUCUCUCCCGGGCGUUGAUGUUUAGUCUCAGCAUUUUUUGCUCUUUGUUUUUCUUACCUCCCUCUGACUUUGCGCCGGGCACCGUCGUUCUCCCGUCCGUCAUGAGCAUCAUAUCGCAUCGGUCAUCACUGUCAUCGUCCGGGCUCUGUUCGCCGCCGCUGCUCUCUGCAGCCGAAGUCCUGUUUGCGCUCUCGCCGUAUUUCACACACAAAGAUCCGGUCGGCAGACCCAGCGUGCCCGCUCGCCCCCCGGCCUGCAGCGGGUCUGGGCCGAUCUGCUCAAAACAGCUGAUGGGCGACUGGCUGUCCCGCGAACCAAGAUCAAUACCCGCUGCCGGUCGAAACGAGUCCAUCUUUUUGCUCGAGACUGCGCUGAGAGUUUUGUGAAAAAUGUCUCCACCCAAGUUUAUUCUCCUGUCCAUAGUCUCCCGAAAGUCGGACGCGAUGGUGGGGCUUCACUCGCUGUCCUCUCCUUAAGUUUCUACUCUAUGAAGUGGAGUUGAUGUUGAUGGCCGCUCCACUUGUCAAGUGAGGCUCCUCCUAAAGUGCUCUACACUGCGUUUAUCGUGUUGAGACACUUUUUAGAUCUCGGUAGCGAUCAGCAUCAGCAGCAGAAGGGGGAGUCUUUU